CCUAGAACCCAGGAGCUGCUGCUCAGCCUGUGGGAGGGAGCGUGGGACGGGGAGACUCAAGAAGGCAGAGGGAAGACUGUGUUUCACAUUUGCAUCAGGCAUUUGGAAAGGAGAAUCCUGCUUCAGGGAGGUGUCUCUUGAAAAUGGCUAUAAAACUUCUUGUCAAAUUGGAGUACUUUGGAAUAUUUAGGAAAAGUUGGCAGAGAGGAGACAGGACUAAAGUGCAGCUCCCACUUGGAUGAACUGAACAGUGUGUGGAGACUCACAUUGUGAAUUUUUGCUCCAAGAACUACCUCAGGAACAUACCAGAAAAACCAAAAGAAUUCACAGACCCUUUGAAAAAAGUGGCUUGCCAGUGCAAACUCCAUGAGACAGCUGAAAAACUGUGCUCUCUGUACACAGAGGGUUUUGUCUGUUUGGUCACCGAUAUAUCUUCAGUGCCCAGAACAGUGCAUGGCAAUGGCAGACUCUCAACUGAUGGUUUAAAGAGGUUGUCUUUUCCAAGGCCCAUCACCUGCUUCACAGAUUAUAAAAUAUAUACAUGGCAAGAGAACCAGGACAAUGACUGACUAUGUGACUAUGACUAUGUGACUAUGACCGUAAGACACUAUGAAUGGCUCUUUCUUCCCUAAGCCUGCAUCUGGCUUCAGACCCUUCUCAGCAAGAAGCUCC
rnacentral:lncRNA from 1 species